rnacentral:rRNA from 1 species
GACGAACGCUGGCGGCGUGCCCAAUACAUGCAAGUAGAACGCUGAAGAGAGGAGCUUCCUCUUCUUGGAUGAGUUGCGAACGGGUGAGUAACGCGUAGGUAACCUGCCUUGUAGCGGGGGAUAACUAUUGGAAACGAUAGCUAAUACCGCAUAACAAUGGAUGACACAUGUCAUUUAUUUGAAAGGGGCAAUUGCUCCACUACAAGAUGGACCUGCGUUGUAUUAGCUAGUAGGUGAGGUAAUGGCUCACCUAGGCGACGAUACAUAGCCGACCUGAGAGGGUGAUCGGCCACACUGGGACUGAGACACGGCUCAGACUCCUACGGAAGGCAGCAGUAGGGAAUCUUCGGCAAUGGGGGCAACCCUGACCGAGCAACGCCGCGUGAGUGAAGAAGGUUUUCGGAUCGUAAAGCUCUGUUGUAAGUCAAGAACGGGUGUGAGAGUGGAAAGUUCACACUGUAACGGUAGCUUACCAGAAAGGGACGGCUAACUACGUG